GAUGAACGCUGACAGAAUGCUUAACACAUGCAAGUCAACUUGAACUUCGGUUUGGGUGGCGGACGGGUGAGUAACGCGUAAAGAACUUGCCUCACAGAUAGGGACAACAUUUGGAAACGAAUGCUAAUACCUGAUAUUAUGAUUUUAGGGCAUCCUAGGAUUAUGAAAGCUAUAUGCGCUGUGAGAGAGCUUUGCGUCCCAUUAGCUAGUUGGAGAGGUAACGGCUCACCAAGGCGAUGAUGGGUAGCCGGCCUGAGAGGGUGAUCGGCCACAAGGGGACUGAGACACGGCCCUUACUCCUACGGGAGGCAGCAGUGGGGAAUAUUGGACAAUGGACCAAGAGUCUGAUCCAGCAAUUCUGUGUGCACGAUGAAGUUUUUCGGAAUGUAAAGUGCUUUCAGUUGGGAAGAAAAAAAUGACGGACCAACAGAAG
rnacentral:rRNA from 1 species